CCUCCGUAGGUGAACCUGCGGAGGGAUCAUUACUGA
rnacentral:rRNA from 1 species